CAUAGACUAUGACAUUGACUACGCCACUGAAUCCCCUAUUUUUAUCGAAUACGAUGACUCGUUGUUCACCGCCAUGGAAGAAUCCACUGCUUGUGAAUCGAAUCCUUGCUUCAAUGGUGGCUCCUGCCAAAGUGAAUCAGCUACAGAAUUCACAUGCUCAUGUCCUGAGCCCUACACAGGGACAAGGUGCCAGAAAGUGAAAAAUGUUUGCAAGAAUGUCAAAUGUGGUUUUGGUGACUG